AAGUCGAACGGCAGCACGGGUGCUUGCACCUGGUGGCGAGUGGCGAACGGGUGAGUAAUACAUCGGAACAUGUCCUGUAGUGGGGGAUAGCCCGGCGAAAGCCGGAUUAAUACCGCAUACGAUCUACGGAUGAAAGCGGGGGACCUUCGGGCCUCGCGCUAUAGGGUUGGCCGAUGGCUGAUUAGCUAGUUGGUGGGGUAAAGGCCUACCAAGGCGACGAUCAGUAGCUGGUCUGAGAGGACGACCAGCCACACUGGGACUGAGACACGGCCCAGACUCCUACGGGAGGCAGCAGUGGGGAAUUUUGGACAAUGGGCGAAAGCCUGAUCCAGCAAUGCCGCGUGUGUGAAGAAGGCCUUCGGGUUGUAAAGCACUUUUGUCCGGAAAGAAAUCCUUGGUUCUAAUAUAGCCGAGGGAUGACGGUACCGGAAGAAUAAGCACCGGCUAACUACGUGCCAGCAGCCGCGGUAAUACGUAGGGUGCGAGCGUUAAUCGGAAUUACUGGGCGUAAAGCGUGCGCAGGCGGUUUGCUAAGACCGAUGUGAAAUCCCCGGGCUCAACCUGGGAACUGCAUUGGUGACUGGCAGGCUAGAGUAUGGCAGAGGGGGGUAGAAUUCCACGUGUAGCAGUGAAAUGCGUAGAGAUGUGGAGGAAUACCGAUGGCGAAGGCAGCCCCCAGGGCCAAUACUGACGCUCAUGCACGAAAGCGUGGGGAGCAAA
rnacentral:rRNA from 1 species